UACGGGGGGGGCAAGCGUUGUUCGGAAUUACUGGGCGUAAAGGGCUCGUAGGCGGCCAACUAAGUCAGACGUGAAAUCCCUCGGCUUAACCGGGGAACUGCGUCUGAUACUGGAUGGCUUGAGAUUGGGAGAGGGAUGCGGAAUUCCAGGUGUAGCGGUGAAAUGCGUAGAUAUUCGGAAGAACACCAGUGGCGAAGGCGACACACUGGCCCAAUACUGACGCUGAGGCGCGAAAGCGUGGGGAGCAAACAGG
rnacentral:rRNA from 1 species